GACAGAGGGUGCAAACGUUGUUCGGAAUUACUGGGCGUAAAGCGCGUGUAGGCUGCUUGGUAAGUCGGAUGUGAAAGCCCUGGGCUCAACCUAGGAAGUGCAUUCGAAACUUCCAAGCUGGAGUGCUGGAGAGGAAGGCGGAAUUCUCGGUGUAGAGGUGAAAUUCGUAGAUAUCGAGAGGAACACCGGUGGCGAAGGCGGCCUUCUGGGCCUUUCCUGACGCUGAGGCGCGAAAGCGUGGGGAGCGAACAGG
rnacentral:rRNA from 1 species